AUGGAACCCUCCUUUGGUGUAACCAUCACCCUGAGCAACUCGAGUCGAAGGUCAGGGCACAUGGAACCCUCCUUUGGUGUAACCAUCACCCUGAGCAACUCGAGUCCCCCUGGGCAGAGAGGACCCCCCCAGGAGGAAAAACUCCAGAGCAGCCCCCCCUCCACCUUCCUCCUCCUCUUCUUCCUCGCAGCCCUUCCAGGGCUGCGGGCGGCCGUGCAACUGGUGGGGUCCGGAGGUGGUCUCCAGACACCCGGGGGGUCCCUGCGCCUCCUCUGCAAGGGCUCCGGCUUCACCUUCAGCAGCUUCAGCAUGGGAUGGAUUCGACAGGCGCCCGGGAAGGGGCUCGAAUAUGUCGCGAGUAUUGACAACGAUGGUAGCACCUACUACGCGCCGUCGGUCAAAGGACGCUUCACCAUCUCGAGGGACAACUCCCAGAGCACGGUCACGCUGCAGAUGAACAACCUCAGGGCCGACGACACGGCCACCUACUACUGCGGGAAAGAUGCUGGUGGUGCUAGAAAUGCUGGCAUCAUGACCCAACAUCCCUGA